UACCUGGUGGAGUCCAGGUUGCCCGCCGU
rnacentral:sRNA from 1 species